rnacentral:rRNA from 1 species
UACGGAGGGUGCAAGCGUUAUCCGGAUUCACUGGGUUUAAAGGGUGCGUAGGCGGGUAUAUAAGUCAGUGGUGAAAGCUCCGGGCUUAACUUGGAAACUGCCAUUGAUACUGUAUACCUUGAAUGUCGUAGAGGUUAGCGGAAUGUUGCAUGUAGCGGUGAAAUGCUUAGAUAUGUUACAGAACACCAAUUGCGAAGGCAGCUAACUAUGCGAUGAUUGACGCUGAGGCACGAAAGCGUGGGGAGCAAACAGG